GUUAAAUUAACAUAGCUUGUUAAAAUAUAAUGUCCAAUUAACACAGCUCAUAUUAAUUGUUUUUCCCAAGUUAAUAUGGGAAAGCAAAUAGCUUAUGACUGAACCAAAUUCUCUGUAGUUGUCUUUUGUGCCUGCCUACGGGGUUGCGUUGCUUGAUG